GAUGAACGCUAGCGACAGGCUUAACACAUGCAAGUCGAGGGGCAGCACGGGAGUAGCAAUACAACUGGUGGCGACCGGCGCACGGGUGAGUAACGCGUAUGCAACCUACCUAUCAGAGGGGAAUAACCCGGCGAAAGUCGGACUAAUACCGCAUAAAACAGGGGCACCGCAUGGUGAUAUUUGUUAAAGAGAUUCGCUGAUAGAUGGGCAUGCGUUCCAUUAGGUAGUUGGUGAGGUAACGGCUCACCAAGCCGACGAUGGAUAGGGGAACUGAGAGGUUGGCCCCCAACUGGUACUGAGACACGGACCAGACUCCUACGGGAGGCAGCAGUGAGGAAUAUUGGUCAAUGGGCGAGAGCCUGAACCAGCCAAGUCGCGUGAAGGAAGAAGGAUCUAAUGGUUCGUAAACUUCUUUUGUAAGGGAAUAAAAAGAGUUACGUGUAACUUAUUGUAUGUACUUUACGAAUAAGGAUCGGCUAACUCCGUGCCAGCAGCCGCGGUAAUCAUA
rnacentral:rRNA from 1 species